rnacentral:rRNA from 1 species
GACGUAGGGCGCGAGCGUUGUCCGGAUUUAUUGGGCGUAAGAGCUCGUAAGCGGCUUGUCGCGUCGUUCGUGAAAACCUGCAGCUCAACUGCAGGCUUGCGGUCGAUACGGGCAGGCUGGAGUUCGGUAGGGGAGACGUGGAAUUCCUGGUGGUAGCGGUGAAAUGACGCAGAUAUCAGGAGGAACACCGGUGGCGAAGGCGGGUCUCUGGGCCGAUACUGACGCUGAGGAGCGAAAGCGUGGGGAGCGAACAGG